AACUUUUGUUCUUGAACCUACCUCAAAAAGUAGACGGAAGUGGCCGAAAACUGACAGAAUUUCAAUCGCUUAUUUAACCCCCUAAACACAGAAAUUUCUCAUUUCCCACACAACCAUCAGCUAGAACGUCUCGAGAGGUUGAGAAAGCAUACCUGGAUCGAAGAAAAUGGUGGUCGGAGGAGUCCGAACGAGCUCCGUGAAUUUUGGGUUAAAACCGGUCGGUUUUUGUCAUUUUUCGGUGAGCACAGGUGGUUCCAGCGGCUGAGGCUGGUCGGGAAGGAAAGAGUGAGGUGGCCUGGUUCUUUCGGGACCGGUACCUCCCGAAACGGUGGCCGGAUGCGACGGUGGUGACCCAAAAUCCCGGCUGAUGAAUAGUAACAGGGGGCUGUUUCUUGCGAAGGGAGAGGGAGGAAGCAGAAGAAGAAGAAGAAAAAGAAAAAGAAAAUUUAAAACUGCCCGGUUACUGUAGCACGAAACUGUUUGCUACACUAACAAAUUUUAAAAAUUACCUUUGCAUCCUUUUUGUUUUCAGACUUUUCCUUUUUCGUUACAACUCAAAAUUGGGCGUGCUGCAUGUCUACGAACUCAUGUCGACAAGCUCUACGUAAUGGUACCACUUACUUCUCCAAAAUCUUUUCGAAUCAGAAAAUAACCAAAAAACCCUUAUCCAAAGGGUAUAUUCGUAAAUUCAUAUUUAAAUUAAUUUAAUAAUUUAAUUGGGUAAAUAAAUUAGGGUCGGGGUGUUACAUAACUUGCAAACUAAUAGUUUCAUGUUCGAACUCUCAUGGCACCUUGGUAAUGUGCGUGAGAAAAUCCCCUCCUUAUUCCUAACUUUGGCAACCAAAAAAAAAAAGCGAGUCAUCAGGCCAUCAUAUAAAUUCAUCUCUUGUUGUUCGAUCAACAAAAAAAACUCAUCUUGUUAUUUUUUAUUUCAAAAUUAUUUAAUGAAUGCGUAGAACAAUAUAAUAAUGUAAAUAUAUUGGAUUAUUUAUCAUUAAACAUCAGUAAAAUUUUAAAAAUAUAGACAAUAAAAUGUUAUUAUAUAGUAUGAUGUACUUGCCAUUUUAAGUUUUUUUUUUUACUAGUAAGUAUACAAAACAUAUUUUAUUAUGUACAAGGCAUAUUAGUAAUCAAAUUGAUUUUGAUUCCUAUUACUGAAUACUUACAUAAGAAUGAUAUAAUAAUUAGUGGAAAAAAAAGAGGCCUGGUUUCAAACAAAGUACUAAUUACAUGAGUGGGAAAUAUAACUUCUGUUUACUUAUGUUACUCCAUUAAUAAAAUAAUAUAUUAAUUUGUAGCAACUCCGAUCUCUUGGACCAUAAGGGUCCAAGAGAUUUGUGGUCACCCACCGUUGAAUGUUAAUCUAACAGUUCAAAAGUUUCUUAAAAGGAGUACAAAAGCGAGUGAACCGCUGAAUUUACAUCCAACGGUGAGUGACCAUAAAUUUCGUGGACUCCUGUAGUCCAAGAGAUCGAGACUGUAAUUUGUAGAGGAAAUAGGUAACAAAUUUCCUAAAACCCUUGCUAUAUAUUUCUGUCCUGAAAGAUUUAAGGAGCCUCAAAUUUGGAUAUUGCAACCACUUGAGACGUUAAUUAAUUAGACUUUAGAGAACGGUUAGGAUAUUGCAAUUUUUGGAUAUUAUAUAUUCUUUCUCUACUUUACCUUAAUGACUCAUAAUUACCCACUAGCACUGUAACACAGCUUCAAGUUGAAGCCAUGGCAGAGGCGUGGGAGGGGAGAAAGACUACGUAUUUUUAUAGUGUUAUCUCUGACUAAUAAUACUAUAGUAUUCGUGAUAAUACUUCGAUGUGGCAUAACAUUAUUGGCCGAAAAUAACAAAAUAAUACUAUCUCCAUUACAAUUACGUUUUUAUCCGUGGGCUGCUCUUAGGCUUAUCUAGUCUUUAAAAUGCAGUUGAAGAAUUUAUUAUUAUAAAAAUGACGUGAGAGAGAGGGAGGGGGUCAUAUAUUUUCAGAAUAAUUUUGCUAAAAAACGAAAGCAGAAGAAUUAAUUAUUAUGAAAAUGACGUGUAAUAAAACCACAGGUUGUGUGACAUUGCCGUACGGUACAUGCAGUCGGUGAGUCCACAGAUGACCAUGCAUUUGUUUUGAGUCGGAUUAAGCAGUGAAUGGGGGCACUAGUUGUCCAUCUUUAUAUGACCCAAUGACUUAAGAUAUCUAUAUGCAUAGAGACUUUUAAAAAGUAGAAGCAAUACAGCCUUAGAAAGGCAGUGCGUGCAUGGAAAAGGAUUAUCUGGUCCCGAUAUAAAUUUACGGUACCUAAUACAUUAGCGCUAAUUGAUAAUUUUUUGAUACUCUAAUGAUAAGAUUGACAAUUAGUGUCGAAUUGAGAAUAUAUCAGGUACGAUAAGUGUCGAAUUGAGAAUAUAUCAGGUAUGAUAAAUUGAUAUUAAAUAUUUAGUCGGUAGUUGGUAGGUACUUAGUAGCUAUUAAGUAAAUAUUAUAUGAGAUAUGAAGAUCAACAUGAAUUAUAUCUUUGUAAUUAAGUAGCUAUGCUUGUAUCUGGUCUCGAUUUGUAUAUCUAUUAUUAGGUAAAAUACUUUGAGAAAGCACAAAUAGUUUGUGGACAUGAGCGAUAGAUACUGUGGUUGGAUUAUCAACAAUGACAGUGUGAACGACUUUUCUUCAUGGUGUGCUUUAGCUACAUCUUCUACGCUUCUGCGUUGGUCACAUUCAUGUAAUCUUGAACAUGAAGCAACGUACCACAAAGGCUACCAAAACUUUAAUAACUGUGGACCAGAAGGAAGCAGUAUAUAGGUCCUACUACCUGUGCAUUUUUGCUGACUAAUAGUUUGAUGCUUAAGGUAAAUCCAAUACAAUUAGUGUAAAUGUCGUUUUACUAUAUAAUUAGGUAUAUCCAAUACAAAAUAAAUCUUUAAUCUUGAACAUAUUUAUAUAGGGGAUUCUAUGACUCACAAAGAAAACCUACGGAUACAUUUAUGUUUAUGUUUAAUCUCAUUUUCUCUUUUGUAAUUCCAUCUACUUUUCAUAAGAGUUUGUUUGAAACAACUUAUAUAUAAAAACUACGCUUGUUUUUAGAUGAUUAUUGUGGUAGGAUGUAAUCAACAAAAUAGACAAACACGGUAUUUCAAGAAAAGAAUAUAAUAAAAACUAUCUAAUUGAAUGAUCAAAUAGUUUCGGAUCCAAGUGAUUGUCGCAGAGAUGAUCUUUGAAGAAAUAUCUAAAAACUAGAUGGUAUUGGAUUAUUGAAAUGCAUGGUGAGUCUUAUAAGGGUGUCUUUCAAAUAAACUUAUUUGAGAAAUCCCUCAACUAAAGCCAUAUCAGUCUCCUUCUCACAAUAUUUAUAUACACACCACACCUUUUGUGAAAAUCUAAAAAUGCUAAAUUAGAAAUGAAAACUGACAGUUAAAGAACUCUCAUGAUCACUCUACAAGAUUGUGACCUGAAUGAUGAAUCAGCAGCUUAAGUUCACCCCAUUAAUAAAAUCUUUUGCCGUUCCCAUCCCGCCUCUAAUAAAAGCUUACUUAAUACGUAGUCCCAUCAACCCCUACCAUCAAAGUAGGGGUUGAAUUUGGUGCUCUUUAGCCUUUAAUCACCACAAGAGUCACAAAUUCUUCUCUCUCCUUAUCUUUCCAACCCCACUGAUAUCUCAGGCAGGUCUAUAAAUAGGAAGAACCAAGCCAUAUUAUACUCACUCAGCAAUCAUCUCUUGCAUACUUUCAUAUAUACAUUAUCGUGCUUCUUGUUAAGCAAAACAUGGCAUCCUCAAAGGCUUUUCUUCUUCUUGGUCUUGUCUUUGCUGUUCUCCUCAUCUCCUAUGAGGUCUUAGCUAUUCCAACUCGUGAGUUUCUCACUUUCUUAACUAAAUCAUAAAUAUUAAAUUAGUAAUUGUAUCUUUCUUUCCAGUAACGAUUUGUGAAUUUAUGCACAUUUUAAUUAAGGUGCACUGGUCGUGAAAAUAAUUAUGCUUCGAACUCUUUUUCUACAUGUAGGGUUAGUAGUUGUUGCACUUGCAUGGCUUAAUUUGCAUCUUAUUAAAUACAAACCGAUUUAUGAUUGUUAUAAGUUAUGUAUAUUGUUUUUGCUUUAUAUAUAAAGUUUUUGGUUGUUCUCUCAGAGUCAGAGGAGAGUACAGUCAACGGUGAUGCCCGCGGAUUUGGAGGUCAUGGCCGCGGAUUUGGAGGUCAUGGCCACGGACAUGGAGGUCAUGGCCACGGACAUGGUGGUCAUGGCCACGGACAUGGAGGUCAUGGGCACGGACAUGGAGGUCAUGGCCACGGACAUGAAGGGUAUGGCCACGGACAUGGUGGAUAUGGCCACGGCGGCCACGGCCACCACGGCCACCACGGCCACCAUGGCAUAGGGAGGCCUGGUGCUGCUGAGACUGAAAUCAAGAAUUAGAUAACCUGUUAGUUUCUGUGACUUACGUUGCAGGUGUGUUGUAAGGGUAGCAGUACGAAAUAAAGUUGUUUGGUUGAGUAAUCUAUAUGAACUCUCAAUCAUAAACUGUCCUAAGCUUGUUCUCAUGUUUCUCAUGUUCUCUGUAAUGUACGCAUUGUAAUGUACGCAUUGGAAUGUGUUCUCUUGUUAUGUGAUAAAAUGUGAUGUAACUUUCUCAAUACAUAUUAUGUCAAAAAUGUUUAGUGUGGCUUGGCUCCUUAAAAUUGAGGGGGAGCACAUCCUCAUAACAAAUGAGAUUUUGGCACUAGUUAAACUUCAAAAAAAUAAAAAUAAAAAGAGGUUAAAAGAAUUCAAAUGAAAAAAAAAAUUAAAGGAAUUUGCCAAGUGUCAAAACUCUAUUUCUUUUGAGGAGGAACUGCUCCUCAGUUUUGUGGAGCCAAACUUUUUCCUAAUAUUAAUGGAGUUCAUGUAGACUCAUUUGUUUUGGGUACCAAAUUUAAUGAAUUGUGUAUUCAUUGGUGGACCCAUAAGCAUACAGUUUUUAAUUUAGGUGAGAUACUCUCGGCAAUUUAAAUCAUGUCAAAAACAUGAUAUCAAAAAAAAUCAGCCGUCAUCGAGUUUGUAGAUAAAGAAAUAAUAUAUAUGAAUGAACGUAAGCUAUAGAGAAGAACAUUUUGUGGAAAACUAGAAAUUUGUAGGGAGAAAUAAGAGGAAGAAAGGGAGUAUAAUUUGCUCAAAUAAACUUGUAUUCCAUUCAUAUUUGGUGCCACUAUUUAUAGGGGUAGAGAGGCCUAAAUCAUUUACCACCAAUAAUUGAUAGGUGACAAAUAUAUAAUGAUGAGUAUUAUGAUAGGUUAAUAGUGGCCAGUAAUUGGGGAGGGUUCCCUCUCUCUCUCUGACUCCCUCACUUUGGAUUCUGUAUUGAUUGUUCCAUCCUUACAUCAUAAUCUCUUAUAUGUUGCCCAAAUUACUACAUCUUUGAAUUGCAUUGUAACCUUUUGGCCUACACAUUGUGUUUUUUAGGACAUUCUCAGCAGCAAGACGAUUGGUUGUGGUACUAGGACGGGCAAACUCUACUAUCUGGACUUGGCAUCUGACAGUGAAGCCAGCCUCAGUCAAGCUUACAAAAUUGGGGUUACGAGUGUUGAGAAGCAAACUUUCGGAGUAUGGUUAUGACAUCGCCGACUUGGACAUGCUUCAUUUGGAUAUUUACAGAAGCUAUUUUCUUCCUUAUUUUUCCAGUUAGAUAUCUCUAGUUUUACGUGUAACAUCUGUGAAAUAGCCAAGAGCCAUCGUGUUCCUUUCCCUUUAAGUUCACAUAAAAGUUUGGUUCCUUUUUCUCUUGUUCAUUAUGAUAUUUGGGGCCCGCUAAAAUUACCACUCUCGGGGGAGCUAGAUGGUUUGUCGCGUUUAUCGAUGAUUGCACACGUAUGACCUGGGUUUCCCUUCUUCAAACAAAAGGAGAAGUCAGUUUCAAGUUUCAACAGUUCUAUCACAUGGUGGAGACACAAUUUCAUACAAGAAUUCAAGUUCUUCGGUCUGACAAUGGCGGAGAAUUUUUCUACCAUAAUCUUACUCAAUUCUUACAAGAUCAUGGCAUCAUACAUCAACGCUCAUGCCCUUACACUCCCCAACAGAAUGGUGUGGCUGAACGAAAGAAUAAACACUUAUUGGAAGUGGUUCGUGCCUCUCUCUUUGGUGCCAAUAUGCCUCGGUCUUUCUGGGGAGAAGACGUCCUCUUUGUAGCAUACCUUAUCAAUCUGAUUCCCUCCAGUAUCCUUAAUUUCCAAACCCCCCCUUCAAACACUCUACCACCAUAUCCAAAUACCUUAUACCAAAAACCUAGAACUACGGAUUUUUGGUUGUGUGGUCUUUGUCUUCUUACAUGAUCACUAACACAACAAAUUGAAUCCCCGCGCCAAAAAGUGUGUUUUUAUUGGUUAUGCACCUCAUUAGAAAGGUUACCGGUGUUAUGAUUCUCCUAGUCAGAAGGUCUAUACUUCUAUGGCUGUUGUGUUCCGAGAACACGACAUAUAUUUUUCAGCCAUACAGGAGGAGCAUUGCGAUGCCAACACAUCUCAAAUUUCAAGACUUUUCCUUUCAGAAUUGUCACAUACUGAAAACGACCAGUUGCAGAAUGCAAGCGACCGGUCGCCGAAGACUCUGCCUGAAAACGACCGGUCGCCUAAGACUCUGCCUGAAAGCGACCGGUCGUCCCCCGGAAAUCCGAAUCUGCUUCAAAACGACCGGUUGUCUCUCUGUUGUCAAACUCAGGAGGAGAACAUUGAGGAGUUUUUGCCCGCUCAGGAGAAUUCUUUAACUCCAGUACCCCACCAAUCACCUGCUGAGGACGUCAUUCAGGUAACCUCUUUUCCUGAAACUAAUAACAUUAAUGAAAUAUCCUAUGAUGAUUUAAUUUCAGAAGGCACAUAGCCUACAUAUUAGAUUCCAAAAUGGAAGAACGGUGGAAAACCUUCAGUUCACUACGAAGCAGACCUUAAUGCAAAAUGGAAAUAUCCCAUCGACAAUUAUGUAUCCAUCAGUAGAUUAUCGGAAUCACGGGUACACUUUGUGAAGCAGUUGGAUGGCAUACCUGUUCCCAACAAUGUAACUGAAACACUAGAAGACUCAACAUGGAAAGAAGCCAUGAAUGAAGAAAUGCAAGCUCUUCAGAAGAAUGACACAUGGGAACUCGUGCCAUUACCUCAUGGAAAGAAGACUGUCGGAUGCAGGUGGAUUUAUACUGUGAAACUCAAAGUAGAUGGAUCCAUUAAAAGAUAUAAAGCUAGAUUGGUGGGGAAAUGCUACACACAAAGAUAUGGGAUAGACUACCAUUAGACUUUUACCCCAGUAGCCAAGAUUAAAACUAUCAGAGUUCUUCUAUCUUUAGCAGCAAAUCUCGAUUGGCCAUUACAUCAGUUUGUUGUAAAAAAUGCAUUCUUACAUGGAGACUUGGAAGAAGAAGUAUAUAUGGACUUGCCACAAGAAUGUAACUUAGCUCGUGACAAGGAGAAUCAAGUUUGCAAGCUCUGAAAGUCAUUGUAUGGGUUAAAGCAAUCCUCUAGGGCAUGGUUUGGCAGAUUCACUAAAUCUAUGAAGAAUUUUGAAUAUAUACAAAGUAAUGUAGAUCACACCUUGUUCUUGAAGCAUGAUGGAAGAAGACUUACUGCACUGAUUGUUUAUGUGGAUGACAUAGUCGUAACUGGAAACGACACAGAAGAGCAAUUGACACUGCAGAAAUAUUUGUCUCAGGAAUUUGAGAUGAAGAAUCUAGGUGAUCUGAAGUACUUUAUAGGAAUUGAAGUAGCUAGGUCCAAAACUAGUAUAUUUCUGUCUUAAAAGAAGUAUGUAUUAGAUCUGCUCACUGAAAUAGGAAUGCUUGGAUGCAAACCUGCUGAUACACCCAUCGAGAUGAAUCACAAGUUAUGUGAAGACAUGGAUCAAGAACCAACCAAUAAGGAACAGUACCAACACCUUGUUGGAAGGUUGAUAUAUUUAGCUCACACAAGACCAGAUAUUGCAUAUGCUGUGAGUAUGGUUAGUCAGUUUAUGCAUUCACCCAGUGUGUCCCAUAGGAAUGCAGUUGAUCGGAUCUUAAGAUACUUAAAGUCAGCACAUGGAAAAAGGGUUAACAUUCUAAAAAAAUAGAGAUCUCAAAGUUGUUGGAUAUACAAAUGCUGAUUGGGCUGGCUCCGUUACUGACAGACGCUCUACUUCAGGUUACUUCACUUGUGGGAGGUAACCUAGUCACUUGGCGGAGUGAAAAACAAAAUGUGGUUUCUCGAUCUAGUGCUGAAGUAGAGUAUUGAGGAAUGGCUCACGGAGUUUGUGAAUUACUAUGGAUCAGAAGACUAUUGACAGAAUUGGGGUUUAAGCCAGGAAAGCCAAUGGAGUUACAUUGUGAUAACAAGUCAGCCAUCGAUAUUGCCCAUAGUCCAAUUCAACAUGAUCGAACUAAACAUGUUGAGGUGGAUAGACAUUUUAUCAAAGAAAAACUUGAGAAGAAGAUCAUCCGCCUACCGUUGGUAAAAUUAGAAGAUUAGUUGGCAAAUAUCUUAACCAAAGCUGUUUGUGGAAGAGUAUUUUCUGACUCACGUACCAAGUUGGGCAUUGGUGACAUAUAUGCACCAACUUGAGGAGGAGUGUCGACUUGAGUCUCCUAAUUAAUCAAGGAGGUUUACUUCCUUGAUUAAUUAAGGGAUUUACUUUCCUAUUUUUUAUAUAGUUGAUAAAUCAUUGUAUAAUUAGAAGAUACUUGCCUAAUUCUUUACUGUAUCUAAUUCCUUGUAUAGCACCCUGUAAACUCUUAUAUAUACCUCAUUAUGGAGAAGAAUAAAGUUAACCUAAUACAUUCAAAUCAUAUUCAUAUUUUAGCAUUCUCCUCAUCUCCUCUGAGGUCUCAACUACUCCAACUCGUGAGUUUCUCACUUUAAAUUAGUAAUUGUAUCUUCCUUUCCAGUAACGAUUUGUAAAUUUAGGCACAUUUUAAUUAUAAGGUGCACUGGUCUUGAAAAUGAUUAUGCUUCGAACUCUUUUUCUACAUGAAGGGCUAGUGGUUGCACCUGCAUGGCUUAAUUUGCACCUUAUUAAAUACAAACCUAGCUAUGAUUGUUAUAAGUUAUGUAUAUUGUUUUUGCUCUAUAUAUAAAGUUUUUGUUUGUUCUCUUAGAGGAGAGUAUAGUGGUGGCGGAGCCACUUCUAGGCCAGGAGCGGCCCUGGUCCCUUUAUUUUUUUUGACUUCUCUCCUAUAUUAUAUAAUGUAAUAUAUACAACUUACUAAUAGACAACUUGUAAUUCAAAUUAAUGGCCCCUUUAAAAAUAAUUAGGCAUGACUAAUUUUGAAAAUUUUAGCUCUAACAUGUGUUUUGAACACUUAUAUGUAUUUGAUAUACUUGUGUUUUCUAUCUUGGCCCCCUCAAUCUUAAAUUUCUAGCUUCGCCCGGUGAUGAUUUUCUAGAUGACCAUGGUGACGGACGUGGAGGGUAUGGCCACAGACAUGGAGGGUAUGGCCAUGGCCACCACGGCAAAGGGGGGCCUUGUGCUGCUAAGACUGAAACCAAGAAUUAGAUAACCUGUUAGUUUCUGUGACUUACGUUGCAGGUGUGUUGUAAGGGUAGUAGUACAAAAUAAAGUUGUUUGGUUGAGUAAUCUGUAUGAACUCUCAAUCAUAGACUCGUCUUAAGCUUGUUCUCGUGUUCUCUGUAAUGUACGCAUUGGAAUGUGUUCUCUUGUUAUGUGAUAAAAUGUGA
rnacentral:lncRNA from 1 species